rnacentral:misc_RNA from 1 species
AAGAGUUUCUAAGCUCUAAACCCAACCGUGGACCGCGAAAACGUUGCCUCGGCGGGCAAAGCCCGCCGGUGGCCCCAACCAAAACGCUUUGCAACGUUUGUCUGAGUGGCGCAAGUCUUAUUGCAAAAUAAGUCA